UACGUAGGGUGCAAGCGUUAAUCGGAAUUACUGGGCGUAAAGCGUGCGUAGACGGUAGCGUAAGUCGGGUGUGAAAGCCCCGGGCUCAACCUGGGAAUGGCAUUCGAGACUGCUCUGCUAGGGUGCGGAAGAGGGGAGCGGAAUUUCCGGUGUAGCGGUGAAAUGCGUAGAUAUCGGAAGGAACACCAGUGGCGAAAGCGGCUCCCUGGUCCAGCACCGACGUCAGGCACGAAAGCGUGGGGAGCAAACAGG
rnacentral:rRNA from 1 species